AUUGAACGCUGGCGGCAGGCCUAACACAUGCAAGUCGAGCGGAUGAAGGGAGCUUGCUCCUGGAUUCAGCGGAGGACGGGUGAGUAAUGCCUAGGAAUCUGCCUGGUAGUGGGGGAUAACGUCGGGAAACGGGCGCUAAUACCGCAUACGUCCUGAGGGAGAAAGUGGGGGAUCUUCGGACCUCACGCUAUCAGAUGAGCCUAGGUCGGAUUAGCUAGUUGGUGGGGUAAAGGCCUACCAAGGCGACGAUCCGUAACUGGUCUGAGAGGAUGAUCAGUCACACUGGAACUGAGACACGGUCCAGACUCCUACGGGAGGCAGCAGUGGGGAAUAUUGGACAAUGGGCGAAAGCCUGAUCCAGCCAUGCCGCGUGUGUGAAGAAGGUCUUCGGAUUGUAAAGCGCUUUAAGUUGGGAGGAAGGGCAGUAAGUUAAUACCUUGCUGUUUUGACGUUACCAUCAGAAUAAGCACCGGCUAACUUCGUG
rnacentral:rRNA from 1 species